rfam:Schistosoma rodhaini strain Burundi genome assembly, scaffold: SROB_scaffold0008390
GCACUGCUGAGGAGUCCCAUAAUAGAACGAAACGAUCGUCAAGUGC